CUUGACGGUACUUAAUGAAUAAGCCCCGGCUAAUUAUGUGCCAGCAGCCGCGGUAAUACAUAAGGGGCGAGCGUUAUCCGGAAUUAUUGGGCGUAAAGGGUGCGUAGGCGGUUUAAUAAGUCUAUAGUUUAAUUUCAGUGCUUAACGCUGUUGUGCUAUAGAAACUGUUUUACUAGAGUGAGUUAGAGGCAAGCGGAAUUCCAUGUGUAGCGGUAAAAUGCGUAAAUAUAUGGAGGAACACCAGAGGCGUAGGCGGCUUGCUGGGACUUUACUGACGCUGAGGCACGAAAGCGUGGGGAGCAAACAGGAUUAGAUACCCUGGUAGUCCACACCGUAAACGAUGAGUACUAAGUGUCGGGUAAAACCGGUACUGAAGUUAACACAUUAAGUACUCCGCCUGAGUAGUACGUACGCAAGUAUGAAACUUAAAGGAAUUGACGGGACUCCGCACAAGCGGUGGAUCAUGUUGUUUAAUUCGAAGAUACACGAAAAACCUUACCAGGUCUUGACAUUUUCUUGCGAAGUUAUAGAAAUAUAAUGGAGGUUAUCAGGAAAACAGGUGGUGCAUGGUUGUCGUCAGCUCGUGUCGUGAGAUGUUAGGUUAAGUCCUAAAACGAGCGCAACCCUUGUCGUUAAUUGCCAGCAUGUAAUGAUGGGGACUUUAACGAGACUGCCAAUGAAAAAUUGGAGGAAGGUGGGGAUUACGUCAAAUCAUCAUGCCCCUUAUGAUCUGGGCUACAAACGUGAUACAAUGGUUGAUACAAAGA
rnacentral:rRNA from 1 species